UACGGCCACAUUCCGUUGAAACAUCGGAUCUCGUACAAACACCGAAUUUAAGCAACGUCGAGCCUGGUCAGUACCUAGAUGGGUGAUCGCUUGGUAAACAUGGA